rnacentral:rRNA from 1 species
ACCGGCGGCUCGAGUGGUGGCCACUAUUACUGGGCUUAAAGCGUUCGUAGCUGGCUUGUUAAGUCUCUGGGGAAAUCUUCCGGCUCAACCGGAAGGCGUCUCAGGGAUACUGGCAGGCUAGGGACCGGAAGAGGUGAGAGGUACUCCAGGGGUAGGAGUGAAAUCGUGCAAUCCUGGGAGUAAGAACUGUGGGGAAGGCGACCCACCAGGACGGCACCGCCAGUGAGGGACGAAAGCUGGGGGCGCAAGGAG